rnacentral:rRNA from 1 species
CCAGACUCCUACGGGAGGCAGCAGUGAGGAAUAUUGGUCAAUGGUCGGGAGACUGAACCAGCCAAGCCGCGUGAGGGAGGAAGGUACAGAGUAUCGUAAACCUCUUUUGUCAGGGAACAAAGGCGGGGACGUGUCCCCGGAUGAGUGUACCUGAAGAAAAAGCAUCGGCUAACUCCGUGCCAGCAGCCGCGGUAAUACGGAGGAUGCGAGCGUUAUCCGGAUUUAUUGGGUUUAAAGGGUACGCAGGCGGUGUGUAAGGGCGGGGGCCACAGCCCGGGGCCCAACCCCGCCCCGCCGUUGAAACUGGCAGUCUCGAGUUGGAGAGAAGUAUGCGGAAUGCGCGGUGUAGCGGUGAAAUGCAUAGAUAUCGCGCAGAACUCCGAUUGCGAAGGCAGCAUGCCGGCUCCACACUGACGCUGAGGCACGAAAGCGUGGGUAUCGAACAGGAUUAGAUACCCGAGUAC